rnacentral:misc_RNA from 1 species
CUGAAAACCAAGAAAACUCUCUUUUAGAGUUAGUUUCAAAAUUGAGACCUAUUAGAAGUCAAAAACUUUAACGGCUCAAAUGUCUCUUUAGUGAUGUAUACAUCAAUUUACCUUAAAUACAUCAUCUUAUAUGGAAUAAAAGGUACAAUUUCUCAGCCCACUUCUGGAGAAAUUAUUUUACAUAAUCGGAUGGAUUUUAACCAGAUUCUCAAUAGCCAUAAAUUUCUCCUGCUUCUAUUGUUGAAGAAGGAUAUUUUUAUCACUCUUUUAUGGUAAAUGACUCUGCCUCUUCUUUCUUGGCAGCGAGCUGUGUACAUUUUCUCCAUAUCAAUUAGGGGCCUAAUUAACCAUUGCAGAGUAAGACAGCGGAGUGAUAUAUGUGCAGACUAAGGCUUUAAUCAACCACGUCACUGCUAAAGAGCUUGAACUUAUUAGCAUCAAGAACCAACUUCCUUAUAGAGGAAAAUGCUCCCAUAAUUCCUGCUCCUGUAAACACGAUUAUAAUAGAGAUGUUGAUCCAAUAGGUGAAAGAUGAUUUUGGAGGCUUGUAGGUCAUGUUAUAGAGAAGCAUUGGGAGGACAAAAUCUAGAGGGAUAAAGCCUAUAGCUCCAACAACACCAUUUAUGUCUCCAAAGAAUGGAAGCAUUGCUGCCAUAAAUCCACAGAAUAUCACGUAAAGUGUCCGAAGAAUUAGCCUAGGAAUCAGGUUCCUUUUGGAGAACAUUCCUUGUUUCACAUCAGCUGAUUUCUUUUCCAUGAUCUCAUAAGCUACUUGAGAAUAAACCUGUGUUAUAUGUUGGAGAAAGUUUUAAAAAUUAGUCAAACCAAAAGUAAGGUUCUGUUCAUCAUGCAUAAGACCAUUUUUGCAUUGACCUGUAAAGAUGUACACAGAAUCCAGUUCUCCACCAUAGAUGAAUUGAAGAGUGAAUCUGUAAAAUUACCACUUACCAGGCCAAUAGCAAAGAGCUGAAGUAGUACAAAAGCGACUCCAAGGCCAAGAACCCACGUCGGAGCCAAGGAGGGUCCCUCAUCUGGCAGUAGGCUUUUGAGUAUGUUCGAAUUAGAUUUGUUUCCGAACACCCAGUAUCCAGACACCGCAGCUGAGUAGAACGUAACCAGAAUAACACUAUAACACAUCAAAAGGCCCUUCACCAUCUUCCCAGUAGCAGGGGGAGCCAAAGUUGCCUUUGUGGAUAGCACAGAAGAAUUAAUGGUUAAAUAACACCUCACAGCAAGUAAGAUUGUGCAAGUUAAUUGAAUUAAUCAAAUUUAAAAGUGCUUUCAAAAGACGCAUGCUUUCAUUUUUUAUAGAUGGAAAAAUAAGGUUAAAAUGUUAAAACAAAUUCAAGAGACUCCAAAGCCAACGCAAAGAUGCACUAAGAUGCUAGAGUUACUUGGAUUUCAGGCAGUAUUCCAUUCCCGAAAAUAGCAGCUAUUAUGGAGAUGGAAGUGAAGGCACUGAAGACCCUUGCAGACUCAGAAGAUUCUAGCGAAUAAUCCCUUUGAGGUGCAUUUUUUGCGAGACCUGCAUGAAUACAAGCACCAACUACAAGGAAAGUGUAGCCCAAACUGAGAAGCAGUGAAGCCAUGUUGAGGUGUCUGAGGGAGUGGAAGGUUGGAAGCUGAGAGAGAACAAUCAUUACUGCUGUCACCAUUGCUAUGAACUCGUACAAUUUUAGGGAUCCAUUGGGAGAGAGGUUCGAGUACACGAUCUGAAUGCAUUCCCCUGCAAGCAAAAUUGCUCCUAUACCAACUCCAGUGUUGAUGGCUGUUUGAAUAAAUAUGACAAAAUAAAACAUCCAACCAGACCCUAAAACGUCGGCGGCUAACUCACGGAAGCGUAUAUGGCGCCGACCGGCUUUCUCACAGUGUUCGAGCACCUUGGACAUGAGAUAGUAAGAGUAGAAGGUAACGACUCCCAUCACUGUUAAGCAUAAGAAGCCCAGGCCCCACCCUAGACCUCUGAACGCGUAUGGCAAAGUCAGUAUUGUAGGCCCCACUAUCGCCGUCGUCAAAUGGAACCCCGCGUGCCACCACUCGCCUUUUGAUUCGAGGACGAAGGCUGCACCGGCAUCGACUUCGUGGCGGGAGUCAGGAAAGGGGUCAGGUUGCGGAGGAUGAGCCAUUGGAUAUGGAAGCUAAGGCCCAAGGGGGUAGGUGGAUUACCAAUAGAGCAAGAGAAGCUGGCGACAGAGAGCUGUUUGCUCUGUAUUGGAGGCGUCGAAAGAAAGCUAAAUUGUAGCAAGAAGCAUAUUUGCCGCCCUGGAUGUGAGAAUGAUGAUGUGAAUGCGAGAAUAUGUAUCUGUAAAGUUACAGUCGUUCACGAGGCAAGAUGAUGAUUUUUAUACAGGCUUAGGUGAACGAAAUACUUUGGCCAUUUUAACGUGCUCUUGUCCUAAAAUUACGUCGUUGCCCCUCCUUUUUUUUUAUGGUGUGGAUAUGAUCCAUGCGUUUG